rnacentral:rRNA from 1 species
GACGAACGCUGGCGGCGUGCUUAACACAUGCAAGUCGAGCGAUGAAGCACCUUCGGGUGUGGAUUAGCGGCGAACGGGUGAGGAACACGUGAAGAAUUUGCCUUCAACUUUGGGAUAACUCCGGGAAACCGGGGCUAAUACCGGAUAUGAGCCUUGGCCGCAUGGCCGGGGCUGGAAAGUUUUUCGGUUGAAGAUGACUUCGCGGCCUAUCAGCUUGUUGGUGAGGUAACGGCUCACCAAGGCGACGACGGGUAGCCGGCCUGAGAGGGCGACCGGCCCCCCUGGGACUGAGACACGGCCCCGACUCCUACGGGAGGCAGCAGUGGGGAAUAUUGGGCAAUGGAGGAAACUUUGACCCAGCGACGCCGCGUGAGGGAUGAAGGCCUUCGGGUUGUAAACCUCUUUCAGUAGGGAAGAAGCGAAAGUGACGGUACCUACAGAAGAAGCACCGGCUAACUAUGUG